GNAGCAUACGGCAGCUAUAAUGCAGUCGGACGGGAUCCGGUGGUAGCUUGCUACCAUUGGUGAGAGUGGCGCACGGGUGCGUAACGCGUGAGCAACCUACCUCUAUCAGGGGGAUAGCCUCUCGAAAGAGAGAUUAAUACCGCAUAAGAUCAACAGUUCGCAUGUUCGGUUGAUUAAAUAUUUAUAGGAUAGAGAUGGGCUCGCGUGACAUUAGCUAGUUGGUAGGGUAACGGCUUACCAAGGCGACGAUGUCUAGGGGCUCUGAGAGGAGAAUCCCCCACACUGGUACUGAGACACGGACCAGACUCCUACGGGAGGCAGCAGUAAGGAAUAUUGGUCAAUGGGCGGAAGCCUGAACCAGCCAUGCCGCGUGCAGGAUGACUGCCCUAUGGGUUGUAAACUGCUUUUGUCCAGGAAUAAACCUAUCUACGUGUACAUAGCUGAAUGUACUGGAAGAAUAAGGAUCGGCUAACUCCGUGCCAGCAGCCGCGGUAAUACGGAGGAUCCGAGCGUUAUCCGGAUUUAUUGGGUUUAAAGGGUGCGUAGGCGGCCCAUUAAGUCAGGGGUGAAAUACGGUGGCUCAACCAUCGCAGUGCCUUUGAUACUGAUGGGCUUGAAUCCAUUUGAAGUGGGCGGAAUAAGACAAGUAGCGGUGAAAUGCAUAGAUAUGUCUUAGAACUCCGAUUGCGAAGGCAGCUCACUAAGCUGGUAUUGACGCUGAUGCACGAAAGCGUGGGGAUCGAACAGGAUUAGAUACCCUGGUAGUCCACGCCCUAAACGAUGAUAACUCGAUGUUGGCGAUAGACAGCCAGCGUCCCAGCGAAAGCGUUAAGUUAUCCACCUGGGGAGUACGCCCGCAAGGGUGAAACUCAAAGGAAUUGACGGGGGCCCGCACAAGCGGAGGAGCAUGUGGUUUAAUUCGAUGAUACGCGAGGAACCUUACCCGGGCUUGAAAGUUAGUGAAGGAUGCAGAGACGCAUCCGUGCUUCGGGACACGAAACUAGUGCUGCAUGGCUGUCGUCAGCUCGUGCCGUGAGGUGUUGGGUUAAGUCCCGCAACGAGCGCAACCCUAUGUUAGUUGCCAGCAUGUAAUGGUGGGGGACUCUAAACAGACUGCCUGUGCAAACAGCGAGAGGUGGGGACGACGUCAGUCAUCAUGCCUUACGUUCNGNGCUAGCACGUGCUACAUGNUUGNACAGGCGGCCAGCUACAUUAGCAAAUUAUGGGUGGC
rnacentral:rRNA from 1 species